CCGCCCCUCGCCUCCGACCGCCCCGCCGGAGAGAGGCCGCCCCGCCGGGACAGCGACGGGGAUUUCGGCUUUCAUCGUUGCAGAUGUGACACUGAGGACUUUUUCUCUCACUGGAGAUUUCAGUAGCUGGGCGUGUAUGGGCUGGUGACAUUAUC